AGUGAACGCUGGCGGUAGGCCUAACACAUGCAAGUCGAACGGAAACACAGUAAGAGCUUGCUCUUAAGGGUGGCGGGUGGCGGACGGGUGAGGAAUACAUAAGAAUCUAAUUUUACGUGGGGGAUAACGGAGGGAAAGUGACGAUAAUACAGAAUACGAUGUACGGGAGAAAGCAAGGGAUAUUGAGAGUUUGCGCGUUUGAAUGAGCCGAUGCCGGAUUAGCUAGUUGGGGAGGUAACGGCACACCAAGGCAACGAUCCGUAGCGGGUCUGAGAGGAUGAUCAGCCACACUGGAACUGAGACACGGUCCAGACUCCUACGGGAGGCAGCAGUGGGGAAUAUUGCGCAAUGGGCGCAAGCCUGAUCCAGCCAUGCCGCGUGAGUGAUGAAGGUCUUCGGGUUGAAAAGCUCUUUUAUUAGGAAAGAAAAACUGUAUGUUUAUCCCCCGCCGUCUUGACGGUACCUAAUCAGUAAGCACCGGCUAACUUCGUG
rnacentral:rRNA from 1 species